GUAAGUGUAUGCUCCCCAAAGGUUGCACGAUAUCACCGGAGAAGCUUAUCAGAGGGGAAAUCGAUCGGUCGAGCAAGUGUUCAGCUACAUUAAGUGUCCUGAAAGCUUCAGCAAACAUGAUAUUGACCGAAGCCCCCGUGUCUACCAGGAUUCGUCGUACUUCAAAGUUGGCUAUGUGAGCUUCCACGAUCAGUGGGUCUUUGUGAGGGUAAAUGAUACCUCUUUCUUCCUCAGGGUAGAAACAUAUUGGAUCCCAGUUAGGCUUUUGAUACUUACCUCCCCUGAUGUUUUCCACGUGAAACACUUGGUGGCCAG
rnacentral:lncRNA from 1 species